rnacentral:lncRNA from 1 species
GCCGCUCUAGGGCAUUCCCGGGCUCCGGAAUUCCGGGCUGGAGCUGCUCCCAGCCAUUCCCAGGCUCCAGAAUUCCGGGAAUUCCAGGAUAGGGGCGCUCCAGGGCAUUCCCAAACUCCGGAAUUCCAGGAAUUCCAGGAUGGAGCCGCUCCAGGGCAUUCNNNNNNNNNNNNNNNNNNNNUGUAUUCCCAAAUUUUCUUCCUUUUUAUUCCCAACUUUUCCUCCUUUUUAUUCCCAAAUUUUCCCUCCUUUUUUCCCAAAUUUUUCUUUUUUUAUUCCCAAAUUUUCCCUCCUUUUUUCCUAAAUUUUUCUCAUUUUUUUUCCACCAUUUUCUCUCUUUUUAUUCCAAAUUUUCCCUCCUUUUUUCCCAAAUUUAUUCCAAAUUUUCUCUCCUUUUUUCCCAAUUUUUCCCAAAUUUAUUCCCAAAUUUUUCUCCUUUUUUCCCAAAUUUUUCUCUUUUUAUUCCCAAAUUUUCUCUUCUUUUUUCCCAAAUUUAUUCCCAAUUUUUUCCUCCUUUUUUCCCAAUUUUUUCUCAUUUUAUUCCCAAUUUUUCCCUCCUUUUUUCCCAAAUUUAUUCUCCUUUUUUCCCCCAUUUUCCCUCUUUUUAUUCCCAAAUUUUCCCCUCCUUUUUCCCAAAUUUUUCUCUUUUUUAUUCCAAUUUUUUCCUCCUUUUUUCCUGAAUUUUUCUCAUUUUUUUCCCCCAUUUUCCCUCUUUUUAUUCCAAAUUUUCUCUCCUUUUUUUCCCAAUUUUUUCUCCUUUUUUUCCCCCGUUUUCCCUCUUUUUAUUCCCAAAUUUUCCCUUUUUUCCCAAAUUUUUCCUCUUUUUUAUUCCAAAUUUUCUCUCCUUGUUUUCCCAAUUUUUUCUCCUUUUUUUCCCAAAUUUUCCCUCUUUUUAUUCCCAAAUUUUCCCUCCUUUUUUCCCAAAUUUUUCUCUUUUUUAUUCCAAUUUUUUCCUCCUUUUUUCCUGAAUUUUUCUCAUUUUUUUCCCCCAUUUUCCCUCUUUUUAUUCCAAAUUUUCUCUCCUUUUUUUCCCAAUUUUUUCUCCUUUUUUUCCCCCGUUUUCCCUCUUUUUAUUCCCAAAUUUUCCCUUUUUUCCCAAAUUUUUCCUCUUUUUUAUUCCAAAUUUUCCCUCUUUUUAUUCCCAAAUUUUCCCUCCUUUUUUCCCCAAAUUUUUCUCUUUUUAUUCCAAUUUUUUCCUCCUUUUUUCCCAAUUUUUUCUCCUUUUUUCCCCCAUUUUCUCUCUUUUUAUUCCCAAAUUUUCCCUCCUUUUUCCCAAAUUUUUCCCCCUUUUUAUUCCCAAUUUUUCCCUCAUUUUUUCCCAAAUUUAUUCCAAAUUUUCCCUCCUUUUUUCCCAAAUUUUUCUCUUUUUUAUUCCAAAUUUUCCCUCCUUUUUUCCCAAAUUUAUUCCCAACUUUUCUUCCUUUUUUCCCAAUUUUUUCUCCUUUUUUCCCAAAUUUUUUCUCAUUUUAUUCCCAAUUUUUCCCUCCUUUUUUCCCAAAUUUAUUCCCAAUUUUUUCCUCCUUUUUUUCCCAAUUUUUUCUCAUUUUUUCCCCAUUUUCCCUCUUUUUAUUCCCAAAUUUUUCCCCCUUUUUAUUCCCAAUUUUCCCUCCAAAAUGCCCCCAAAAUUCCCGGGAAUUCCAACCCCACCCCCCCCAAAAAAAUUCCCAAAACUUUCCCCAUUUAUUUUAUUUUAUUUUAAUUUUUAUUUUUUUCCUGGGAUUUUAUUUCAAAUCCUCCAGAAAAUUCCCAAAAAAAAUCGGGAAAAGGGGGAAAAUCCCAAAUUCCGGCCGAUCCCGGUGUUUGGGAAUUCUGGGAUUGGGAAUUUUGGGAUUUCUGGGAUUUUUUGGGAUUUCUGGGAAUUUUGGGAUUGGAAUUUCAGAGAAUUCCCUGGAUUGGGAUUCCCAGAAUUUCCCAGGAUUGGGAAUUUUGGGAUUUUUGGGAUUCCUGGGAUUGGGAAUUUCUGGAUUUUUGGGAUUGGGAAUUUUGGGAUUUCUGGGAUUUCCCAGGAUUGGGAAUUUUGGGAUUUUUGGGGUUCCUGGGAUCGGGAAUUUUGGGAUUUUCGGGAUUUCUGAGAUUGGGAAUUUUUGGGAUUCCCUGAAUUCCCAGGACUGGGAAUUUUGGGAUUUCUGGGAAUUCCAGGAUUGGGAUUUUUGGGAUUCCUGGGAUUGGGAAUUUCUGGAUUCCUGGGAUUGGGAAUUUUGGGAAUUUUGGGAUUCCUGGGAUUGGGAAUUUGGGGAUUUCUGGGAUUUUUUGGGAUUCCUGGGACUGGAAUUCCCAGGAUUCCGGGGAUUUCUGGGAAUUCCGGCGUUCCCGGGCUGUCAGGAGGUGAAGUCGGAGCUGUGCAUGGAGCAAAGGCGCUCCAGGGGAUUCCCGGGCUCAGGAAUUCCCGGAAUUCCAGGAUAG